AUUCAGCCAGAGAAUGAGGAAGGAGAGAGGCCCUCCCUUUGCUGGAAGGUUCCAGAACCAGCCACAAGGGGCACAGGGCUGGUCUGCCCACUUUCCAUUGGCCAGAAGCAGUAAGGUGGCCAUGCCCGCCAGGUGGAGAGGCUGGGUGAAUAGGACGUGAGCUCCAUGAACCCCGGCUGUCAGGGCCACAUGCCCACCUCCAUCAGUCUGAGUCCAAGGCGUGCCUUCUGUCGGACUUAACUCUCCUACUUCCAGAGUGGAGAAAAUGUGAGAAUAGAAAACAAAAGGCCUGUGGAAGAGGUCUGUGAAUGGUUUAGUCGCGAGCAGGGGCGUCAGGAGAAAGGUCAUGGCUAGUCUCCCCUGAGGUCUCAGUGAGGACAAGGACCAGCUCCAAGCAAGACUGCCACCUGCUCCCAGGCGGAGCGUGGACGCCCGGCCGAGUGGACUGGAGGGCCAUCUCUCUCCCGUCCUGGCCCUGCCUCGUGAGCAGGCAGACUCCACGUGUGAUCUGACACGAAUCGGGCGACCGAGUGACGCACGAUUUAAAACCCACCCGGGCAGAACGGGAGCUCAGGGACAAUAACCUAGAAGAUUCGAUGGAGAAGUCUGAGGCUUGGCCGACCACUCGCUGAAUGGAGGGUCACCACAGAUGCAAUAGUUAAAGAUGCUGGCUGACGAGAGAUGCCGUAUGGUGAACUGAAUAAUGCAAAUUAGGGAUAAUUUCAAACAGAGCCAAGUGCGAUCUGCCUUCAGGUCAGGUGGUUGCACAUUCCAGGUAAAUUCAACACAGGUCAAGAGUGUGUGUGAAGGCUGGGGUGAGUGGGUAAAACAGACUCUGUGCUUGCAUCAUUAGAAGGAGGCUUCCCCUCUGAGGGAAUGUCCCAUUCGUUUCAGGAUAUUUAGCAUCCUGCCCCCAGCCCCUGGGAGCCAGUCGACAUUGUGACAACUGAGAUGACAUAACAUGUUGAAAACAUCCCCUAGGGGGCGAUGUCACACCGGUUGAGUACCACUGAUUAGCACCACACAGCGAAAUCACUCCCUGGGAAUAAAGAAUGAAGGAAGAAAGGAGAUCAACGGGCCACUAGAGAGGAGAGAGGAUGCGGCACAGAGAGUUAAAGUGCCUACCUCUGAAAACUUGGGCAAGAUUUGAAGGAAGAUAGAUCGAGGAAAAGGAGAGUCAAGGACGCACAAAAGGGCUACAUGUUUGUCUAUGUCAUGCCAACCCUGCCUGUGUAUUCUAUUUCUGGUUCUCACUGCCGAAUUCUGGAAUUUCUAAAAUAAUACAAAUGAAGAAGAUUCAAGGAUGUGUAAGUGAUAUGUGCCUACCUAAGGGAAAGAAGCAUCUUACCUUCCUGCAAUUUGUCAAGCAACUGAAAUAUCAAGAACCUAGACCUGCCUGCAUGACUGAACGCUCACCUUGUUCCACACACCUUGUGUGUUUUUCUGUGGAAUCAGAGGUGAUGGAACAAGGAAUAUUUUUCUCCUGUUCUAUACUGGUUAUCUGCUGCUGCG
rnacentral:lncRNA from 1 species